AACACACCAGAUCCUAUCUGAUCUCGGAGGCUAAG
rnacentral:rRNA from 1 species